rnacentral:rRNA from 1 species
AUUGAACGCUGGCGGCAGACCUAACACAUGCAAGUCGAACGAGCGGCGGACGGGUGAGUAAUGUCUGGGAAACUGCCUGAUGGAGGGGGAUAACUACUGGAAACGGUAGCUAAUACCGCAUACCAUCAGAUGUGCCCCGAUGGGAUUAGCUAGUAGGUGGGGUAAUGGCUCACCUAGGCGACGAUCCCUAGCUGGUCUGAGAGGAUGACCAGACACCCUGGAACGGAGACACGGUCCAGACUCCUACGGGAGGAAGCAGUGGGGAAUAUUGCACAAUGGGCGCAAGCCUGAUGCAGCCAUGCCGCGUGUGUGAAGAAGGCCUUCGGGUUGUAAAGUACUUUCAGCGGGGAGGCGUUACCCGCAGAAGAAGCACCGGCUAACUCCGGGCCAGCAGCCGCGGUAAUUC